UCGUUUCGUGCAAAAUUGGUGUUU
rnacentral:siRNA from 1 species